AGCAGCAGCAGCAGCAGCAGACAAUAGAAGCAAUGGCACCCCACUCCAGUACUCUUGCCUGGAAAAUCCCAUGGACGGAGGAGCCUGUUUAUUCUCCUCCUGGGUAGAAGGAUAUCAUCAGCUGACUGGAGAGAAGAUCAGGAGUUCAGACAGGCUGCAGAGAAAAGCCAUUUGAGGCGGAAGGUAGAGGGGACGUAAUCCUAUGCAAUCUCCGCAUUCUGCAGUUUAAAAGAGAGGGGAAGGACUCUGUCCUCCAGCCAGUGGGAGGCGCUGCUGGGGGAGGAGCAGCGUCCAGACCAGAGAAGCCUCGUUCUCCCCUCACAUGCUGACACCACCUUCCUUCUCCUGAUUAACAGAAACAACCUACCAUAUAUUCUGUUCCAAACUGGACCACCUAACACAACUUCCCCGCUCUUGGUUUGGGCUCUUGCUAAUGCUUCACUGGGGGUUUCUCUGGUAGCUCAGUGGUGAAGAAUCUGCCUGCAGGAGAUGCAGGCUUGAUCCCUGGGUGAGGAAGAUCCCCUGGAGGAGGAAAUGAUACCCCACUCCAGUAUUCUUGCCUGGAGAGUACCCAUGGAUGGUGGACUAGAGUCAAUGGGGUUGAGAAAAGAGUCUGACCUGACUAAGCGACUAAACAGCAAUGUUUCACUGAAGUUUAAAACGACUCCUUCUAAAGGCGGCUCAGAUGCUGCUUGCUUCCUGAAGUUUUUCCUCAUCUUGAUUCCUUUAAGUCUACCCUCUACAAAAUGAAGCUUUACGUCCUUAGUGUUCCCACAGCACUUUAUAUUUC
ensembl:lncRNA